UAUCAACUUUAUUUUAUUCACAAUUAUUUAUAAAAUAUAUAUAAUAAUAUAAAGAGAAACAGCUAUUUAUAUGAAUAAUAAUAAUAAUAACCGUCAUCACGUAGACUAUACAUUAGACACUGUAUAGACAUCAUAUUAAGACUAUACUUAAGUAAUAAAAAUCUUACGUUACGGACGAACUUCGUUCCAAAAAAUAUAUAUUUAUAUUUAGCAUUAAUAUAUUUAAUAUUAAGUGAGUUACAUACGAUUAUAAUACUAUUCUGUAAUGGUUAAAUUUAAUACAUAGUCUACGGCGAACAAAAUUGCCGCACUGCAAUACCGACUUUUAUAUGAAGCAAAGAAAGGUGUGUGUUUUCACACACCUGUGACAUAAUCGAAGUUUCAAUCGUGCCGUUCUCCCAUCAUACUUAAACCGGAACUCAACGGACUGCUUUGUGACAGAUAUAGGUUAGUAGUAAAAGUAUCAUUUUCAGAACAAAAUCUACUCUCGCAGACUGCACGAAAAAAAAUCAAACAAACCCAUAACCAAAUCAACAACGUCAUUGACGGCUAACACAAUAGUCUAAGUUUUUAUACCUAGACAUUUCCAUAGUACACCCAGAUACAUUUCUGUUACAAUUUAAAAUAUUUUAUUAAUUAACGACCCUUUAAUUAAGCUUAACAAACAAAUUGAAGCAAACAAUAUUAACAAAUACAAUAAAUUUAUUUAAAUAAACAGAAGCUUAAAAUGAAGUUUCAGAAAAUGUACAGAAAUUGAAAUUGCAUUUGGAAAGUAGGUUUAAUAUCGAAAGAGAAAAUCGAACUGAACUUUAUUGACAUUUUAUCAGUCGCAAGUAAACAGUUUGUUUUGCUUUCAUGAAUGAACUUCAAAGUAAAUUAAUAACUGUACCAAAUCAAAUGAUACUGUCAAGACUUUUGUGAAGGUUGUUUUUUCUUUGACACGCCUUCAGCAAUCAUAGCAACACUGUACCUGGGAAAAAUACGGUGUGCUUAUUGAUCGAAAACACGCGCAGGCGUCUCAACUGGUGUCCUGGAUUUAAUUAACCAAAAUAAAAUUGUUUGCAACUACAAUGUUUUUCUUUCAUUCAUUCAUUUAAAUAUACAAUAACAAAUAUAAAAAUUCAAGUAAUAUGAAAUUGAAAAAAUAGAACGGUGCAACAAACCCUCUCAGUUCGAACAUUGCGUUUUAUCGGGCUUUAUUUUCCAACAGUGUGAGCUUUGGUCCAGUUGGCGAGGGUCCGCGCAUGCCUCGUACAGCUUGUGAGGUUCUAUCAAAAUAAUUGGCGGAAUUGUCAGUGAUGUAAAGAACAGGCUACGCCGCCGGUGUUCCGGCAGGCGCAAAAACAUGAUACACUUAAUUUUACUAAUGUAUCCAUACAAAUAAGACUAAAAAAGCAUACGAUAAUUAAGCUUGAUGGUUUAUGUCAAUUUGUGUAGUGAAUGUCCUUGUUACGUAGAGUAAUUCGAUAUAUGAAAUAUCUCUUAGGAAAUUAGCAGAAUUCCGCUGGUAGCCAAAAUGCCGGACUGGACUUGGAUGUUGUUUUCGGCGCUAUUCGGAGCUGUGUCUGCGCUAACUGUUCCACUGUUACUUCUCAUGUAUUACGUACGGCCGUUUGAAAAGAGAACUCAAGAACUGGACCAAUUUAACAUGCCAGUCACUUUGCCUCUGGAAAUUCUGAACGAGCUUACACGUGGAGCCGGCAGCACUCCCGAGGGCGCUCUGAACGCGAUGCUGCAGUUCAUAUUCCAACAAAGCACUGCUGAUACUCGCUGGUUACGACGCCGUAUGGCUACCGAACUAGCUGAGUUGCUUGCUAAAACAUCUUCAGGAAAGAUAUUUGAAUCUCUAACGCUACGUUCCUUGGAAGUUGGCACUGAGUUUCCUAGUAUCAACAAUCUUCACCUACUUAGCGGCGAAUUGGAGGAAGAUGGGGCAAGACUCAGGUCCUUGGAUCUAAAAUUCGAUCUUGCCUACGACGGAAACUUCAGGAUUGACGUAGACGCUGUGAUGCUGCUCGGCAAGAUUGCUAAUAUAUCGAUUACUGUUGAAAGUCUAAGCGGCAAUGUACGACUCAUGUUUCGACGCACUCCGUAUACCCAUUGGGCGCUUGCUUUUGAAGCGCCGCCAAAGUUGGAGUUGAAAGUCCGAGGUCGAUUCCAAGGGCGGCAAUUAAAGCCAAGACUGGCAUCGCUGGUCGCGGCCCAUAUCAGGAGGGCAGUCGCACAACGGCACACCCUUCCCAAUUAUAAGAUAAGAUACAAACCAUUCUUCCCAAAAUCUGAGCCGGGUAGUGGAGAAGCUGAUGACGGUCCCACCCCUCAAGGUCGACUGACGGUACGACUUGUCGAAGUUACCCGAUUGCAGUGGGCAGGAGCGAAUGGGACAGUAAGGGCUGCUUUAGCUGUGGAUUCACAUGCAUGGGUAUCCCUACGUCGUGGUGUUUUAGUGUUGGAUGUAGUGUUGCCAGCAGUCUCCGGUCCGCUUGGCCUCGUUUGCUGCCAGGGUGUCGGCGUGGUGCUGGUAGAUACAGUAGUGCCAAUGUCGCCGGCAUAUCGCGCCGAUUUACGACGAGACGAUGUUGUACUGGCCAUCGAUAAUAAGCCUAUUAAUAAUGUCGCUCAGGUUGGCAAACUCCUUCGUCUGGUAGAAAGACGUGCUGUCACCGUGCGAGUUCGACGAGGCGGCAGUGGAAACUCAGCGCGCCGUGAAGACAACGCCGUCGAACCGAAACGGAUCAAACCUAACUUUUCAUUCAGAAGAGUUUCCGAAGUAAUGGAGGGAGUUAGACUGCAGGGUAUUAGAGCUGCGGCUUCUAAGAGUAAUUUACAGGAAUCCGAAUCACCGGUUAAAGCUUCUGUUGAAUCACACAACGAGACUGACGCACAAUCCAAACCAAAAACAGAACCGGUUCGUCAACUUUCCAAGUCAAAUGACCAGCCUUCACCUUCAGCCAAUUUCGGUCUUCGUAAGCGCCGUUGUUCCGUGGAAAAUAAAUCUUCCGAUAGUUCUGCGGGCAGCACACCACCGGCUUCUGGAGCCAGUACACCCUUACGACAGUCCACCGCUGUGAACAAAACCGUCAAACACCCCGAAAUACCUAUUAUUAGAACUGAUUCCUCCGAAUGUAAAGUUACGGAGAGAGUUGAAACACUUUUAGAUGAUGAUGAAUUAUUCGAAACAGGCGGCCCCAGACAAUGCGAACAUGUUGAGAUAUGCCAAAUGUUUUUGACUAAAAGCAUCCAGCUCAAGCCCAUCAUACCGUUUGAUGAAGAAACCGAAUUCAAAUUGAACGAGAAUCAUAAAUAUUUAAAUAUAAACGUAUGGGCAACGGUAACAGGAGAGAAAGAUGAAGUUCUGUUGGGAUACUUGAAUAUUCCACUAGCCGCGUUAUUGAGCGAAUGCCAGGACUCGACAGUUCCACAUCAUAUGAAACGAUAUCAGUUUUUACCUCCCGAUGUCGAUAUUAAAUUUAGCAAAAGCCACAAACUGGCUUCACAUGCAGGCUUCGAGCCAUGUCUAUGUUUUGGAGACGCUCUGGUUUGGUGGGAAUGGGAUGGGGCAGCUACUCGCAGCGCUCCUCGUCCUCCUGUGAAAGACUCAGCGCCUCCUCGGCCCCCCAAAUUGACCAGAGCUGUUCACGAUUUUGUACGAACUCACUUCCACAGAUCUACUCAAUGCGAUUUUUGCAAUAAAAAGAUUUGGUUGAAAGACGCAAUGCAAUGCCGUAGUUGUGGUCUUUGUUGCCAUAAAAAAUGCGUUACAAAGUGUCAAGAGUCUUCGCCGUGCGUACCUAAACAAGACUUAGGCUUGAGCUGUCCUCCUCCUGAACUGAUUAUGACAGAAGCUGACUCGGUUCCCGAUCCUGACUCCGACGAAGAACCCGAUAGAAAAGAUUCACUUGAAGUUCAUGAAGAAGACGAAUUGCUUGAAUGCUGACAUUUGGGAAGCAAUACACUAUUCUAACACACCCGGACUCAUUCGACUUGUCCCUACGACUGUGCAGGCGGCGGCGCUAUGAGCGCGCUGGUGGCGGGGCUACGGCGUGCUGGCUCUGCACACUCGCUCUCGGCUCCCAAAACGUCUGCUUCUUCCAGGUCCUUACCACCCUCACCAA